UUCAUCCCAAAUGGCUCCCUUCUCCUCUCAAAUCUGCUACUUCCAACUCGAGCCAAACUCGCCGGAAAACUUAGAAAAAACCGGCGAGUGCGCUAAGCCGAGUUUCACGGUCCCCCCUCUCAUCUUCUCCUUCUUCCACGUCAUCCCUUCCGUACUAAAUCUCAUGAUUCCUUAAAUCGAUUCACGUGUUCUCUUUAUUCGUUCUAUUUUUGUUGAGGCAAUUUCGGACCCUUGAACAAAUCUUGGAAGAAUGGGAAUCGUUGGAUGAAGAUUUUUGUCCAAAGUUUCUAUUUUUUUUUUUUGUUUGUCAAAAGGGAUUUUCGGAUUUUGUUUUGGGGUCCACACAGUUUUGGGCGUUACUUGGAGAAGAGGAGAAGAAGAUUCAAGAGGGGCUAUAUAUUUGGGAUUUUCGGACAUAAAGGGAGAAAAAAAAGGAUUUUGGUUAUCACUAUGGAAUUUAGCUGAGUUGAGGUGCCGAUUUGAGUUGUCGUCCGUAGUCCGAGCUCGCAGUUCUCGCCUCACUCUUGCUUCUGUUGUUUGCAACUUUUGGUUCGAGUUCUCGCCGCUCUGUAAUUUUUGAAGAUUUGAAUAUACUGCAAAGCGAUUUCAGGUCCAUUUCCUUUCUCCUUAUCUUGUUGUUUGGUCUGAUUGUUAGUAUGAUAAGAGUUUUUGGUUUGAAAUGGGUUUAAUGGUUUAAAAUUCGAUGAAGUUUUUGCUAAAAAGGGAGAUGGACAUGAAAUGAUUUCAGUUGAGGCUAUUAAUUCUGAAUGAAGUAUAGAGUUCAUUGCUUGGUUUAAUGGUUUGCUUGAUGUUUUCUAUACCAAUAUUUCUUGUCUUUUCCUGUAUGAAUCUUAAUUAAACUAUUAGGUUUGGUUUAGAUUGUUUCACUUUCAUGUUCUGUUAGAAUUCAUGAGUGAUAUUUCUAUGUUAGUCUCAAAUGGCUCUUGCUAUAAAAUCCUCAUGAAGCAGCGCCAUUAGUUUUAAGUUUUAUGUUCUCAGAUUGACAAAAACAGGUUGAUUCAUAUGAUGUUAAUCUUGGGUUUUGAAUGAACUGUGAUUAAACUUGAAAUAUUCUGAUUAUUUAAGUUUAUGCCAAUCAUUUAGAAGACAUUAAGUUUGAAAUUGGAGCUAGUUUGUAUAAAAGGUUAAUCUAUUUUGGAAAAAUAUCAUGUUAAUGGUUAGAAACUGUUUGCUAUGUGAAAGCAGCGUGUUAAUGUCACUGUUGGUUGGAGUGAAUGGAAGUUUCCAAGAAAUGUAUCUCUAUCUUAACUCAAGUAUAAUAAUGUGAUUCAUGAAGGGUUAUUCACUUUUGUUCUUUUAUGAGUCAUUGGAGUGUAUCGUUUGUUCCAAAAAUGGAUAAUGAAUUGUGAAAGACUGUUGUUUCAGUGGCAGUGUACAUUGAUUUGUCUAGGGCUUUUGGAUUAGGAGAAUGGGCGUAUGGGGGUUAACAUAGCACGAUUGAAAUUUUAAUAUAGCUCUUAUCAUUUUUUGGUCCUCUUGCUUUA